UUUUAGAAAUUAAAAUGAAAUCCCUGCGCGUUUUCUGCAUGGUUACCUCUUCCUAGCAGCGCCAUCGAUCCUAUGCAAGUUUACUCAGAAGUAAGUCUCAGUGGGGCCAAGUGCGUUUUCAGCCUGGCCUUUUCCAGAGGGGGGGGGAAUCCGUCUUCGACCGGCUUACAGCGACAGGAAGGCAAGGGCAGCCUUGCUCCACGAGAAGUAGCAGCCAGACCAGAAGAGCCGGCCACUAACGCAACGUCGGACUUGUUCGGGCAGCGGCAGGCAAAGGCGGUGCUGGCUCGGCAGAGGGCGUCCCGCUUGCGGCUAGAGCGGAGCCGGGAGGAGCCUCCUGCGUUGCGCGGCCGGGCUGGGGAGGAGCUGCAAUUGCCGCCGCGGCUGCUUCUGCCACGUCCACCGGGCUGAGCCGAGCCGGGAAACGGCUGGAGCGCCAGCACGUGUGCGCCGCCGCACUGAUAUGCAUUUGCUUGUAUACUGAGCCAGCUUUUGGGAUAAAACGAAGCCUCUGGCAUCAAAGCUUCUUCCUGGGUUGUGUGGACUCAAUAAUGCAAAGGACAUUGUCCAGUGAGAGCAACUUGAUGUACUGAUUGCAAACCUCAUCUUCAUUUCAAGACUGAGAGGGAAAGGAUGUGUACCACUUUGAUGCAAGAAUAUGCAAGAAGACUAUGCUGCAUUGUAAACAUCUGCAGGCUGCCCAUGGGCAUUUGGCUGGCCAUUGUGAGAAGAGAAUGAUGAACAGGGGCCACCCACCUAUCAGCACCUGAUGUCAUAAUGAUUUCAGGUUUUUGUGCGGGAAUUCCUCAAAAUCAAAAGGGGGCAGCUUUUGACGAAGAGGCGCAUCUUGUUCGCAUUGUGACACGUCUUGAUUUUUUGCUGUAGUUUGGUCGAUUGACAGAAGGCCCAGACGAGGAGGAGGAGGAUGCGACAACUGAAAGGGAAGCCCAAAAAGGAGACGUCCAGAGACAAAAAGGAGAGGAAGCAAGCGAUGCAGGAAGCCCGGCAGCAGGUCACAACUGUGGUGCUCCCAACGCUGGCCGUGGUGGUGCUUCUGAUUGUGGUUUUUGUUUAUGUUGCAACCCGCCCAAACACGACUGAAUGAUGGGGAUUUUGAACGCUGUUGUAACUUUAGGCAGCCAGAGCUUGCCUCUUGUUCCGCUGAGAGCCAGAACCAACAAAAGGUCCCCAAGGGGGGGGAAAAGAGAUCUAUAUCUCCCAGUCAAUAAUCCUUUUACACAAAGGAAUCGUCUUUCUUUGACUUGAUCCAAGCUCUGCAGCUUCUCUCUCUCUCGGAAUGUAACGCAGAACAUAUUUGCCACUGUGGCACAAAAUGUUCUCUUGCCCAGCUUACGUGCCUUUUUGACUUCAAGUGUGUGUGUGUGUGUGUGUGUGUGUAGGAGCUCUCCCCCUUUUUAAUUACCUGUGUCACAAAAGGGGAACUCUGUUGCUCUCAAAAAUUUGUAUAAAUUGGGUUUUAGCCCUUCAGUUUAUUGGCAACAUUGCUUGUGUCGUUCCUGUGAGUUCUUGUACCUUGGCUUCACAACUUUCCAAAGUAGUGAAACUUCCCCAGCCUUUCAUGAUUAUAUAAUGGCAUUUGAAAACCUUUGAUUAAAAUAUAUAUUUAUUUUUGAAUAAAGAAGACAAGUCUUACAUAAAAA